CCUACGGGGGGCAGCAGUGGGGAAUUUUGGACAAUGGGCGCAAGCCUGAUCCAGCUAUUCCGCGUGUGGGAAGACGGCCUUCGGGUUGUAAACCACUUUUGUAGAGAACGAAAAGUCUGUUGAUAAUACCGAUAGAUGAUGACGGUACUCUAAGAAUAAGCACCGGCUAACUACGUGCCAGCAGCCGCGGUAAUACGUAGGGUGCGAGCGUUAAUCGGAAUUACUGGGCGUAAAGGGUGUGCAGGCGGUGUUGCAAGAUGGAUGUGAAAGCCCCGGGCUUAACCUGGGAAAGCCAUACAUGACUGCAUGACUAGAGUGCGUCAGAGGGGGGUGGAAUUCCAAGUGUAGCAGUGAAAUGCGUAGAUAUUUGGAAGAACACCGAUGGCGAAGGCAGCCCCCUGGGACGCAACUGACGCUCAUACACGAAAGCGUGGGGAGCAAACAGGAUUAGAUACCCGAGUAGUC
rnacentral:rRNA from 1 species